rnacentral:rRNA from 1 species
GUUGAUCCUGCGGGAGAUUACUGCUAUUAGGAUUCGAUUUAGCCAUGCAAGUCAGAGGGUCUCUUCGGAGACACAGGCAUACUGCUCAGUAACACGUCAAUAAUCUACCCUUACGUUGGGGAUAACCUUGGGAAACUGAGGCUAAGACCCGAUAGGUAACUAUGACUGGAAUGUUUUGUUAUCAAAAGGCAACGCGUAAGGAUGAGUUGGCGGCUGAUUAGGUUGUUGGUGAGGUAACGGCCCACCAUGCCUACGAUCAGUAGGGGCCUUGAGAGAGGUAGCCCCGAGAAGGGUACUGAGAUACUGACCCUAGCCCCACGGGGUGCAGCAGGCGCGGAACCUUUACACUGCACGCAAGUGCGAUAAGGGAAUCCUGAGUGCUCAUGCAUAGCAUGGGCUUUUGCCAAGAGUAAAUACCUUGGCGAAUAAGUGGUGGGUAAGACUGGUGCCAGCCGCCGCGGUAACACCAGCGCCGCAAGUGGUAAUCAGCUUUAUUGGGCCUAAAGCGUUCGUAGCCGGUUCAGUAAAUUCUAAGUGAAAUCGUCCUGCUCAACAGAACGGCGUGCUUGGAAGACUGCUGGACUUGGAACCGGGAGGCGUCAGAGGAAUUCCGGGGGGAGCGGUAAAAUGCUAUAAUCCCUGGAGGACCGCCUGUGGCGAAGGCGUCUGACGAGAACGGAUUCGACGGUGAGGGACGAAAGCUGGGGGAGCAAAUCGGAUUAGAUACCCGAGUAGUCCCAGCUGUAAACUCUGCGAGCUAGAUGUUGCACAUUCUUCGGAAUGUGCAGUGUCGGAGCGAAGGUGUUAAGCUCGCCGCCUGGGAAGUACGGUCGCAAGGCUGAAACUUAAAGGAAUUGGCGGGGAAGCACUACAAGGGGUGCGGCGUGCGGUUUAAUUGUAUUCAACGCCGGGAAUCUUACCAGAAGCGACGGCAGGAUGAAGGUCAGAUUAAAUGUCUUACCUGACGAGCCGAGAGGUAGUGCAUGGCCGUCGUCAGCUCGUACCGUGAGGUGUCCAGUUAAGUCUGGCAACGAGCAAGACCUGUACCUAUAAUUGCUAACGGAUCAAUUACGAUGACCGAGCACAUUAUGGGGACUGCCUUGGUAACAAGGAGGAAGGUGCAGGCAACGGUAGGUCUGUAUGCUCCGAAUCUUCUGGGCUACACGCGCGCAACAAUGGUAAGGACAAUGGGAUGCAACCCCGAAAGGGGAAGCUAAACCUCUAAACCUUAUCUUAGUUUGGAUCGAGGACUGGAACUCGUCCUCGUGACACCGGAAUCCCUAGUAAUCGUGGUUCACAACACCACGGUGAAUAUGUCCCUGCUUCUUGCACACACCGCCCGUCAAACCAACCGAGUAGAGUUAAGGUGAGGCGCCACUUUUGGUAGUGUCGAAUCUUAGCUUUGUGAGGUGGGUUAAGUCGUCACAAGGUA